rnacentral:rRNA from 1 species
AUGCUGGCGCCCGACGAGCCCAAAGAUGAUGUGUUGUCUUUACUGGUGUUUUCCUCCUGGAAUAACCACUGGGAGAGUCGAGAGUUUGUGCCCAGGAAUUGCACUCCCCAGCAUCUCAGCGACUUAUUGCCGGUGUCAAGAUACAAAGACUACACGAUUAUAUGGAAAUCAGCUAAGUAUUGGCGAGGAUCGCUCUAUGUGCAUUGCCACAACAACAUUCUUAUGAUCGUACGCAACUCACAAGAGAUGUAUGAUAUGGUCCAGCUGCCAGGGAAACCCUGCAACAAUGAAGAAGUCACCUUCGAGCAGGGCCUUCCCAUUAAGUCCAUCCUAGCGCGUUAUGAGAAAGGGAUUUAUUAUGUGGCAAUCGACAUGUUCCAGCUCCAGGUAUGGACAUUGUCAGAACCAGUUGACGGGUAUUUAGCAUGGACAUUGAUGCAUGAGGCCAACCUUGCUCCAUAUGGUCAUCAACUGGAGAGUAAAUAG